AGAGUUUGAUCCUGGCUCAGGAUGAACGCUGGCGGCGUGCUUAACACAUGCAAGUCGAACGAAGCACUUUAUUUGAUUUCCUUCGGGACUGAUUAUUUUGUGACUGAGUGGCGGACGGGUGAGUAACGCGUGGGUAACCUGCCUUGUACAGGGGGAUAACAGUUGGAAACGGCUGCUAAUACCGCAUAAGCGCACAGCAUCGCAUGAUGCAGUGUGAAAAACUCCGGUGGUAUAAGAUGGACCCGCGUUGGAUUAGCUAGUUGGUGAGGUAACGGCCCACCAAGGCGACGAUCCAUAGCCGACCUGAGAGGGUGACCGGCCACAUUGGGACUGAGACACGGCCCAAACUCCUACGGGAGGCAGCAGUGGGGAAUAUUGCACAAUGGGCGAAAGCCUGAUGCAGCGACGCCGCGUGAGCGAAGAAGUAUUUCGGUAUGUAAAGCUCUAUCAGCAGGGAAGAUAAUGACGGUACCUGACUAAGAAGCACCGGCUAAAUACGUGCCAGCAGCCGCGGUAAUACGUAUGGUGCAAGCGUUAUCCGGAUUUACUGGGUGUAAAGGGAGCGCAGGCGGUGCGGCAAGUCUGAUGUGAAAGCCCGGGGCUCAACCCCGGUACUGCAUUGGAAACUGUCGUACUAGAGUGUCGGAGGGGUAAGCGGAAUUCCUAGUGUAGCGGUGAAAUGCGUAGAUAUUAGGAGGAACACCAGUGGCGAAGGCGGCUUACUGGACGAUAACUGACGCUGAGGCUCGAAAGCGUGGGGAGCAAACAGGAUUAGAUACCCUGGUAGUCCACGC
rnacentral:rRNA from 1 species